CUACGGGUGGCAGCAGUGGGGAAUAUUGGACAAUGGGGGAAACCCUGAUCCAGCAACGCCGCGUGUGUGAAGAAGGCCUGCGGGUUGUAAAGCACUUUCGGUUGGGAGGACUGCUUCUAGCACUAAUAUUGUUGGAAGUUGACGUUACCUUCAGAAGAAGCACCGGCUAACUCCGUGCCAGCAGCCGCGGUAAUACGGAGGGUGCGAGCGUUAAUCGGAAUUACUGGGCGUAAAGCGCGCGUAGGCGGCUAGAUCAGUCGGGUGUGAAAGCCCCGGGCUUAACCUGGGAACUGCAUCCGAUACUGUCUAGCUUGAGUACAGGAGAGGAGAGUGGAAUUCCACAUGUAGCGGUGAAAUGCGUAGAUAUGUGGAGGAACACCAAUGGCGAAGGCAGCUCUCUGGCCUGAUACUGACGCUGAGGUGCGAAAGCGUGGGGAGCAAACAGGAUUAGAUACCCCUGUAGUC
rnacentral:rRNA from 1 species